UACCAAGAACAGACUUUAAAAACUGAAAACAUGGUUUAAUUUGAGAAUCUAAGUCAGCGUUCAAAAUUAUCGGAUUUGAUACGAAAACCUUGUACAUGUGAUGACCCACGAUGCCAUUUUGCACGAGGAGCUGGAGUUUAGGCUUGAGGUUGUCUUCUACAUUGUAGUUGAGGAUUUGAGGCCGCCUUUUAAUCAAUUUGGUUAUGCGGAUGCUGGGAAUGUUGUAGGACUGGAAGCAGCGGAAUACAGAUUGGAAGCUUUGGAGGUUGUUUUCAUGGAGGUGGAAGUCUCGGGAAAAUUCAAGAGCUGAUUUUAAAAAAAUCGGAUCUCGCUUAAAAGCCGAAAAAAUCUCCUCUUCACUCCACCCCAAACUCUUCAUCACUUCAAUUUUCUCCUUCCAAAUUGACUCACUCGUGUGAAUCCUCACUCUAACAGCCUCAAGAAAAACAGGAGCCUUUGGAUCAAAUCCCAGAUUCUUAAGAUCGUUCACUGCAUUGACCAUAUUAUUAUGCUUGUGCUGUACAGUUAUUGCGUCCCUAAUAAGAAAUUCAGCAACCCCAUCAAAAGGCACUCCCUCUCUAAUCAAAAAAUCAAUAUUUGGUUGCAAACAACCCUUCAAAUCACAAGUCAACAAAUGGGAAGAACGAUUAAUAGCUUCUACGACAUUCCUAUUACUACCAAGAACAGACUUUAAAAACUGAAAACAUGUUUAAUUUGAGAAUCUAAGUCAGCGUUUCAAAAUUAUCGGAUUGAUACGAAAACCUUGUACAUGUGAUGACCCACGAUGCUAUUUGACGAGCUGGAGUUUAGGCUUGAGGUUGUCUUCUACAUUGUAGUUGAGGAUUUGAGGCCGCCUUUUAAUCAAUUUGGUUAUGCGGAUGCUGGGAAUGUUGUAGGACUGGAAGCAGCGGAAUACAGAUUGGAAGCUUUGGAGGUUGUUUUCAUGGAGGUGGAAGUCUCGGGAAAACGUUUAUGCAUAAGAGAAAGCUGGCUUCUCAUUCUGGAUGCAAGCAGAAAGUUUCUUCCAGGGGGUUUUAGGUUUCUUCCAUAAAUCAUAACCAAUCGGGUCUGGUUGGGCGGGUGGGUUGGAUUCCAUAAAUCAUAA
rnacentral:lncRNA from 1 species